rnacentral:rRNA from 1 species
GUGGACAGUGGCAGACGGGUGAGUAACGCGUGGGGAUCUGCCCAGAGGUUCGGAACAACCAUUGGAAACGAUGGCUAAUAUCGGAUAAGCCCCUAGGGGGAAAGAUUUAUUGCCUUUGGAUGAACCCGCGUAAGAUUAGCUAGUUGGUGAGGUAAUGGCUCACCAAGGCGACGAUCUUUAGCUGGUCUGAGAGGAUGAUCAGCCACAUUGGGACUGAGACACGGCCCAGACUCCUACGGGAGGCAGCAGUGGGGAAUAUUGCGCAAUGGGCGAAAGCCUGACGCAGCCAUGCCGCGUGAGUGACGAAGGCCUUAGGGUUGUAAAGCUCUUUCGCUAGGGAAGAUAAUGACGGUACCUAGUAAAGAAGCCCCGGCUAACUCCGUGCCAGCAGCCGCGGUAAUACGGAGGGGGCUAGCGUUGUUCGGAAUCACUGGGCGUAAAGCGUACGUAGGCGGACUGAUCAGUUGGGGGUGAAAGCCCGGAGCUUAACUCCGGAACUGCCUCCAAUACUGUCAGUCUUG